GGAGGGGGCUGUGGCCCAUCAGCUAGUUGGUAGGGUAAAGGCCUACCAAGGCGAGGACGGGUAGGGGGCCUGAGAGGGUGACCCCCCACACUGGAACUGAGAGACGGUCCAGACUCCUACGGGAGGCAGCAGUAAGGGAUAUUGCCCAAUGGACGGAAGUCUGAGGCAGCAACGCCGCGUGCGGGAGGACGGCCUUCGGGUUGUAAACCGCUUUUGGAGGGGAAGAGGGAGGACGGUACCCUUCGAAGAAGUCUCGGCUAACUACGUGCCAGCAGCCGCGGUAAAACGUAGGAGGCGAGCGUUAUCCGGAUUUACUGGGUGUAAAGCGCGUGCAGGCGGCGGCGCAAGUCGUGUGUGAAAGCUCCCGGCUCAACCGGGAGAGGACGGACGAGACUGAGCUGCUAGAGGCAGGUAGAGGUGUGUGGAAUUCCGGGUGUAGUGGUGAAAUGCGUAGAGAUCCGGAGGAACACCAGUGGCGAAGGCGGCACACUGGGCCUGGCCUGACGCUCAGACGCGAAAGCAUGGGGAGCGAACGGGAUUAGAAACCCCGGUAGUCCAUGCUGUAAACGAUGCGGACUAGGUGUUGCGGGUUGAAUCCCCUGCAGUGCCGAAGCGAACGUGAUAAGUCCGCC
rnacentral:rRNA from 1 species